CAAUAGCGUAUAUUAAAGUUGUUGCAGUUAAAAAGCUCGUAGUUGGAUUUCUGGCAGGAGGGACCGGUCACGCACUCUGUGUGUGAACUUGGCUCCCUCUGGCCAUCCUUGGGGAGAUCGUGUUUGGCAUUAAGUUGUCGGGCAUGGGAUACCCAUCGUUUACUGUGAAAAAUUAGAGUGUUUAAAGCAGGCUUAUGCCGUUGAAUAUAUUAGCAUGGAAUAAUAAGAUAGGACUUUGGUUCUAUUUUGUUGGUUUCUAGGACCGAAGUAAUGAUUAAUAGGGACAGUUGGGGGCAUUAGUAUUUAAUUGUCAGAGGUGAAAUUCUUGGAUUUAUGAAAGACUAACUACUGCGAAAGCAUUUGCCAAGGAUGUUUUCAUUAAUCAAGAACGAAAGUUAGGGGAUCGAAGACGAUUAGAUACCAU
rnacentral:rRNA from 1 species